rnacentral:rRNA from 1 species
GACGAACGCUGGCGGUGUGCUUCACACAUGCAAGUCGAACGGGGUUGUAGCAAUACAGCUUAGUGGCGGACGGGUGAGUAACACGUGGGAAUCUGCCCUUGGGUGGGGAGUAGCAGACCGAAAGGUCUAUUAAUACCGCAUACGCCGUGAGGUAAAGUAGCAAUAUGCCCGAGGAUGAGCCUGCGUCCGAUUAGCUAGUUGGUGGGGUAAAGGCCUACCAAGGCUGUGAUCGGUAGCUGGUCUGAGAGGAUGAUCAGCCACAAUGGGACUGAGACACGGCCCAUACUCCUACGGGAGGCAG